CAGUUCCUGUACAAUCACCAAAGUUAAGCAACAUUGAGCCUGGCUAGUACUUUGAUGAGUGACUGCUUGGGAAUAACAGUUGCUGUA